rnacentral:rRNA from 1 species
CCCUACGGGGGGCAGCAGUGGGGGAUAUUGCACAAUGGGGGAAACCCUGAUGCAGCGACGCCGCGUGAGCGAUGAAGUAUUUCGGUAUGUAAAGCUCUAUCAGCAGGGAAGAAAAUGACGGUACCUGACUAAGAAGCCCCGGCUAACUACGUGCCAGCAGCCGCGGUAAUACGUAUGGGGCAAGCGUUAUCCGGAUUUACUGGGUGUAAAGGGAGCGUAUGGGGCCUGGCAAGCCUGAUGUGAAAUAC